UACGUAGGGUGCGAGCGUUGUCCAGAAUUACUGGGCGUAAAGAGCUCGUAGGUGGUUUGUCGCGUUGUCCGUGAAAACUCACAACUCAAUUGUGGGCGUGCGGGCGAUACGGGCAGACUGGAGUACUGCAGGGGAGACUGGAAUUCCUGGUGUAGCGGUGGAAUGCGCAGAUAUCAGGAGGAACACCGGUGGCGAAGGCGGGUCUCUGGGCAGUAACUGACGCUGAGGAGCGAAAGCGUGGGGAGCGAACAGG
rnacentral:rRNA from 1 species